UACGUAGGGGGCGAGCGUUGUCCGGAUUUAUUGGGCGUAAAGAGCGUGUAGGCGGCCAGGUAGGUCUGCUGUGAAAACUCGAGGCUCAACCUCGAGACGUCGGCGGAAACCAUCUGGCUAGAGUCCGGAAGAGGAGAGUGGAAUUCCUGGUGUAGCGGUGAAAUGCGCAGAUAUUAGGAAGAACACCGGUGGCGAAGGCGGCUACUCUGGAACGGUACUGACGCUGAGACGCGAAAGCGUGGGGAGCGAACAGG
rnacentral:rRNA from 1 species